rnacentral:lncRNA from 1 species
UUUAAUAAAACCAGAUUAUCUGAGGUUGAAUCAUUUGACAGUGUCAAAGACAUUAGUGGUGAGAACUUUCUUUUCCAAAUCUUUAGUAAUAUGGUUACCGAGAGGCAGGUGUUGUAGACUUAUCCUGGAAGCUGCCAAAUCUAAUCUCUAUAACUGUUAUUUCCCUACUUCAGAAUUCAAGAUAGAAGCAGGGACAGUAUUCUGGGGAUGCUGCAGUUUCCAUGGCUCUUGGAAAUCAACCUGUUAGUUUUUAGUAGUCACUUGGCAGUUGGUGGUAGUGGUGGCUGGGAUAGUGAGCCCAUUUUCCAUAAGGAUUGUUCCCUUCAAUAAGAGUUGUAAGAGCCAAGUUGGAAGCAACACUAGUUAUCUGGGAUACAUUCCAAUUCCCAGGACUAUCAUAUAAAAUAUCAGAGAGAAUUGAAUAGUUGAGGUGGUUUGAUUUAUUUGGUACAUGCCAAAUCCUGUCUUCAACUCAGGGAGUCUUGUUACUUCAGCUAGUCUGACUGCCUUACCUUAUUUAUACUUGACAAGCUGCUGGUGGUGGUAGUAUCAGGAAUGAAUGGCCUAUUCUCCAAGGAUUUGCUCCCCUAAACAAGGGCUGUGGGGUGGGGCAGACUGAACAUAAUACUUGCAUCCUCUUUAUCAGUUUCAUUUCCUUCUUCCUUUCAUCAUCUUUCUUUAUUUCUUUCUCUUCUAAGUGAAGUACCAGAAGCAGUUAAUAGAAGUUGCCAAAAGACAAAUUUAGGUUUGACUAUCAGAAAAACAUUUCCUAACAAAUUAGACUUAUCCAAGAAUAAGCUGAACUGGGAAUGAAGAAGAUUCCCCUUCCUUGAAGGUCUUGAAGCAUAAGCUGGAUGAUUACUUUUAGAUAUAUUAUUGUAGGGAUUCAUUUGGGGUAUGAGUUGGACGUGAUGGCCAAUGAGUCCCCUUCUAGCUCUCAAACAGCCAUUUGGCAACAAAGCUAAUGUUGUAGAUCACCCAAAGAGCAAUGGAGAGAGAGAGAGAGAGAGAGAGAGAGAGAGAGAGAGAGAGAGAGAGAGAGAGAGAGAGGGAGGGAGGGAGGAGGGAAGGAAGGAAGGAAGGAAGGAAGGAAGGAAGAAGGAAGGAAGGAAGGAAGGAAGGAAGGAAGGAAGGAAGGAA